UUCCCCUUUCACCUCACGUCCUCACUCUCUCUCUCUCUAAUGCCGCACCGGCCAUGGCGUCGCCGGCAAGGACGCCGGCCUGCCUGCCUGCCUCUCGUCUCUCUCUCAAACUCUCCAUCCAAUCGUCCCCCUAUCUCGCGGCUUCUCCCUCUCUCUCGGCCGGCGGCGUUCGGCCUCCGAUGCCGUCGCCGGUUGCUAUUCCAGGUGUUAGGGUGCCGUCGGGCUUGCCGGCAUGCGCGAGACCAGCCGUCGUGACACGUUGGCUGUUGGGCAGUGACCGCACUCGAGCAACGGUGGCGUACGGGGCAGCGGCUUCGUGAGCAGGGGAAAGGCGCGCGUGCGUGGCUUCCGGAGACGACAGCAGCGGCAUGCGUGUGUGUGUGGCUACCGAGAGGGCAGCAAGGUGUGUGUGGGUGCGUGGCUGCCGGAGACGGCAGCAGCGGCUGCCCGGCAGUGGCGUUGGCUUCCUCAAGUCUAGCUACGCUCUCGUCUUAAGGUAUCGGGGUUCCAGGCGUGACUAUUAAGCAAGAUCCGGAGGGCAUGGAGAGUAUUUUUAUUUUUACUCUAAUGUUGAACUCGAUGUAGAACGUGUACGAACUUUUAUUUGAAGCUCGGUCUUCACAAACAGAUUU